rnacentral:RNase_P_RNA from 1 species
GAAGUCGGCCAGACAGUCGCCCCGCAAGGGGAGGAAAGUCCGGGCUCCAUAGGGCAAGGCGCCAGGUAACACCUGGGGGGCGUGAGCCUACGGAAAGUGCCACAGAAAAUAUACCGCCUCUUCGGAGGUAAGGGUGAAAUGGUGCGGUAAGAGCGCACCGCGCUGGUGGCAACAUCAGUGGCAGGGUAAACCCCGCCUGGAGCAAGACCAAAUAGGGGAACACAUGGUGCGGCCCGCAUUGUUCCCGGGUAGGUUGCUUGAGGUGCAUGGUGACGUGCAUCCCAGAUGAAUGACUGUUCGCGACAGAACCCGGCUUAUCGGCCGACUUCAUUU